AUUAGCAGACGACGAUAAUAGCCAGUCUGUUUACAAGAAACGUCAGGCUGCGCUGCAUUAUUUUUAAUCAAUUUACGUUCUUAUUACAUAUUCCAUUAUUCCUGCCACCGUUUCUGAUUUAAAUGUUACGUCUAGUUAAAUUAGUCCAUUGCCGAGACUAUUACCUGAGCAUGUUUCUGAUUUCGUCCCCCAAUCUUUACUUUUUUGGAUCAUUUUGACGACUCAAAUUAGUACAUGCUUGUACUACGAAAAAGAAUGAGUCGAAUUGGUAUCGAAAAGCUAAAGAUCCUGUAUUCCAGUUUCUCCUGUGCACACCUCGAGCAGAGCAACAACAAAGUCAACGCCUAGGUGUCAAGGAAUUAAAAAAAAAACCUUGCUUAACCACAAGUUGCUACUUAAGCGUAAAAGAAGUCUGUAUAGAAAGCUAGCUGAAACAGGUUGACGGAACUAUUUCAAUCAUGAAAUAGUGUUGAAAAAUGUCUCAAUCAAACAAACCAGAAUGUUGAAGCAUGAGGAGGGAAAGGGAAGGGAAGGGAGAAGGGAAUAUAAGUCAGGAAUUACUCGCUUAUCCUGUUUAGUUGGUGAGCUGGUGAAAGGCACACUUGAUUCCAAUGACAUGAACAUAAAUCGUGUUAAUGUUGAUCACAAUGAAAGAUAGACAAUUGAUUUUCAACUACCCAGAAAAACUGUUCACUAAUGCCAAUGUUAUGGCUGUAAAAAACGCCGAUUUUAGUUAUAUCGAGCACCUUGCAUUGGUAAUUAGAGGUGAAAUCGUCUCUAUACAUUUAGUCAUCCCGAACUUCUCAAACUUGAACGCUGUAAUCUUAUUGAAAAGGUCAUGUGAUUGGUGAUGAAACUGAUGACAAAUUGUUACAAUACUCUGCCGUUCCAUUGGGUGUAGCUUGCACUCUAGUUUGCGUGGUACAACCCAACAGAUCCUUGAUGAAGCUGAAUGUGUGUUUUACAGUCGACUUUUAAGAAAAUACGCAAUGUCUUCGGCGAAGGUACUGUUUUAUUAUUCCAUAAUGUUUUACGUGAUGAUGGGAACAUGGGAUUUUACAAUUUUAUUUCUAUUUCUCAAGAUUGUAGCGAAGUACUGAUGGACCAUGACAGUAUAUACUUUGACUGCCAAGACUCCUAACAAAGAAUGAAUGGCUAUAGAGAAUUUCACUGCCCGCAAAUUUCUACAGCUACUCGUCAUGAUUGCCAUAAAUGAGGGUUAUGAUUCAGCCCAACUUGUGUCAACAGAGCUUCGAGUUAAACAUUAAGAAGGAAUUUAAGCAACCUUAGAACUAAUUUAUCAUAUGAACUGUGGCAACAUUAAUUAGAUGUAGCAGUUGGGAGUCACAGUAUCCUUUUUUGUUAAGCGUUAUGUGCAAGUAUCUGCAGCUGAAAGCGACUGAAACAAUUGUAUGCGCUUAUGAUAUCAUUAAGGCAGCACUUCGACAUCAUGAGCAAGACAGAAGUCAUUUUUAAAAUUGCAAUGUCAAUGCACAACUUACAUCCCAACCUGAACUGGCAUCCAAUACCCAUUGCUCUGGUUAAAAUUUAAAAAAACCUAUAGCUAUUUGAUAUCUUUUUGAUAUUAAUUUUCAAGAGAUGACAUUCAACAACUACACCGGUGGAAUUUGAAAUUAAAUCUCCUUUAAAACAAUUCAUUUUUUAACAAGAAUCCCCUAUCGAAAACUUUCUGGCAUAUUAAUUAUUCAAUUACGUAUUUUUUUUCAAUUUUUUCAAAUUUAAGAACUAUCUCAGUUACGAUUCAACACUGCAGUGACUGAACCAUCAUAGGCUAACAUCAAUAUUUUAUUCUGCCAAAAAAAUGAAAUAAAAAAAAUCAAUCAAUGCUAAUUA